rnacentral:rRNA from 1 species
AUUGAACGCUGGCGGCAGGCCUAACACAUGCAAGUCGAGCGGAUGAAGGGAGCUUGCUCCUGGAUUCAGCGGCGGACGGGUGAGUAAUGCCUAGGAAUCUGCCUGGUAGUGGGGGAUAACGUCCGUAAACGGGCGCUAUUACCGCAUACGUCCUGAGGGAGAAAGUGGUGGAUCUUCGGACCUCACGCUAUCAGCUGAGCCUAGUUCGGAUUAGCUAGUUGGUUGGGUAAAGGCCUACCAAGGCGACGAUCCGUAACUGGUCUGAGAGGAUGAUCAGUCACACUGGAACUGAGACACGGUCCAGACUCCUACGGGAGGCAGCAGUGGGGAAUAUUGGACAAUGGGCGAAAGCCUGAUCCAGCCACGCCGCGUGUGUGAAGAAGGUCUUCGGAUUGUAAAGCACUUUAAGUUGGGAGGAAGGGCAGUAAGUUAAUACCUGGCUGUUUUGACGUUACCAACAGAAUAAGCACCGGCUAACUUCGUG